rnacentral:rRNA from 1 species
UACGGGAAGGCAGCAGUGGGGAAUAUUGCACAAUGGGCGCAAGCCUGAUGCAGCCAUGCCGCGUGUAUGAAGAAGGCCUUCGGGUUGUAAAGUACUUUCAGUCGUGAGGAAGGUGUUAAGGUUAAUAACCUUAGCAAUUGACGUUAGCGACAGAAGAAGCACCGGCUAACUCCGUGCCAGCAGCCGCGGUAAUACGGAGGGUGCGAGCGUUAAUCGGAAUUACUGGGCGUAAAGGGCACGCAGGCGGUUAAUUAAGUUGGAUGUGAAAUCCCCGGGCUUAACCUGGGAAUGGCAUUCAAGACUGGUUAGCUAGAGUCUUGUAGAGGGGGUAGAAUUCCAUGUGUAGCGGUGAAAUGCGUAGAGAUGUGGAGGAAUACCGGUGGCGAAGGCGGCCCCUGGACAAAGACUGACGCUCAUGUGCGAAAGCGUGGGGAGCAAAC